rnacentral:rRNA from 1 species
UACGAAGGGGGCUAGCGUUGUUCGGAAUUACUGGGCGUAAAGCGCGCGCAGGCGGCCAUUCAAGUCAGGGGUGAAAGCCCAGAGCUCAACUCUGGAACUGCCCUUGAAACUGCAUGGCUUGAGUACGAGAGAGGUGAGUGGAAUUCCCAGUGUAGAGGUGAAAUUCGUAGAUAUUGGGAAGAACACCGGUGGCGAAGGCGGCUCACUGGCUCGUUACUGACGCUCAGGCGCGACAGCGUGGGGAUCGAAACAGG